UGCCCAAAGGCCAGAGUCAGAGCACAAUUUUGAAGAUUACAGAAAACUCCAAAGAGAUUGAAGAGAUGGAAUAAAGGAUCCCAGCCCCCGAAAAGAGAAAGCUUUGUGUCUGUAGCCAUAGCCCUUGGCAAUCAGACAUCCUCCUCACUAAUGUGAGGUCAGGAGGGGACUAGAAGUGCUCAGAGGAUGGACUGCCUCUGGCCAGUGCAGGGGAGAGGCAGGGGUGUUGAGGCACAGGAGCCAGAUGAGAGGAACGUCAGCAGCAAAGCAGUAAGAAGAACAUGAGAGUUUCUUGAUAGUAAUAGAACUUCCUACACAGACUGGGAACCGGGUUGUAGCUUGAGGGGAUGUGACAACAUAGUGGCCCGGAAUUUUCACUUUGGAAAUUAACUGCUUUGGACCAGGAAGAAGCGCUGAGCCUAGAAAGGCAGGAGGCACAGGACUGUGUGGGCUUCUGUCUGGCAGGGACCUAUGAGCUUCAUAGGGCGAAUGAAUCGGGGCAGGAUAAAGCAGAGGCCUCCACCCUCACAGUGCUCUUAGCCAUCUCAGGCUUCCCGGAACACUGCUACCAGGCUGCCUGCUGGAGCCCUUUACACUCACAGGCCUUCCUGCUUGGGUUCUCUUCUGCAGGCUGCGUAAACCAGUCCUGUUGUAGCCCUUGUAGCAUCUGCUGUAGUGAUCUGGUUUGGGUUUCAGUAUUACUUGCAAUGGUUUGGAAGGAAAUGGGAAGUUUGCCUUCUAACUACAUUUUCUUUUUGAUUCAAGAACCCUAGCAGUUCUACAACCACUGGGCCUAAAACUAAAAUAAAGGAAAAAUAAAUAAAAGGAAGCAAAAACAUCUAACUGGGAUGGCCUGGCAGCAUUGCCAGAGAGAGUCCUCAGGGGCCCAUGCUUGUUCUGUCUUUUGCUCUGCCAUCCCUAGGGUGGACAGCACGGAAGAGGCAGUACAUCUUAACAAAAUCAGGGUUCUGGAUGAAGGGAGGGGUGGUGAAUGGUUGCUGCAAUCAACAGUUCAUACUUCAAUGGAAAGAAGGUGGGAUUUGAUUCCUGGCUGCAAAUCUUCACUCUGUCACCUGCUAUCUGUGUGCCCUCAGUCUCCCAUCAAGGAGUGAUGUCUGUUUCUCCACUUCUUGAAUCUGGGCUGGCCUUGCCAAUAGCAUAUGGCAGAAGUGACAUCGUUCCAUUUCUGAGUCAAAGCCUGAGGAGGCCUUGCAUGCUUCUACUCUCUCUUGCAACCCUGCACUGCCACAUAUCAACAAGACUUAUCAACAAGCCUGGGAUAGCCUGCUAGAUGAUGAAAGAAAUAUGGCCCGCUUGCUCCCAUCACUCCAGCUGAUAGCCAGGCAACCCUAAGAAGCAAAGUCACCUAGCUGAUUAGUAGCUGACCACUGACACAAAAGUAAGAUCAUCUGAGACCAGAAGACAGCCCAUCUGAG
rnacentral:lncRNA from 10 species